AGGGAAUCUUCCACAAUGGACGAAAGUCUGAUGGAGCAACGCCGCGUGAGUGAAGAAGGUUUUUGGAUCGUAAAGCUCUGUUGUUGGUGAAGAAGGAUAGAGGCAGUAACUGGUCUUUAUUUGACGGUAAUCAACCAGAAAGUCACGGCUAACUACGUGCCAGCAGCCGCGGUAAUACGUAGGUGGCAAGCGUUGUCCGGAUUUAUUGGGCGUAAAGCGAGCGCAGGCGGAAUGAUAAGUCUGAUGUGAAAGCCCACGGCUCAACCGUGGAACUGCAUCGGAAACUGUCAUUCUUGAGUGCAGAAGAGGAGAGUGGAACUCCAUGUGUAGCGGUGGAAUGCGUAGAUAUAUGGAAGAACACCAGUGGCGAAGGCGGCUCUCUGGUCUGCAACUGACGCUGAGGCUCGAAAGCAUGGGUAGCGAACAGGAUUAGAUACCCUGGUAGUCCAUGCCGUAAACGAUGAGCGCUAGGUGUUGGGGACUUUCCGGUCCUCAGUGCCGCAGCAAACGCAUUAAGCGCUCCGCCUGGGGAGUACGACCGCAAGGUUGAAAC
rnacentral:rRNA from 1 species